UAAACCAGCCGACGUGCACAGCAAAGUUGUGCGAUCGUCACGAACUCUACUCACAAACUGAUUACUCAAAGUGCAUGCAGUCGAUUAACUACUAAAAGUAAAUGCCAAAUAGCUGGUCGGAGUAGCUAGAGCGCGGCGGAGACCACGCAUAUAAAAUGCAUUAUUAAACAAAGUGGCGAGCUGAGUGUGGCAGUGAGCGUGCCCUGGGCAGUCAAUAAGGUGUGAUCAGCUGAUUGAGGGAAAUUUUUUUGUUUUCGGUAGUAUUCCAGGCAUCCUAAAUCUGAGACGGC